UGAGAGGGAUUAGAAAAAGUCCUAGGACUAGAUAACCAAACACCACCUUAAGUGAACCAGGAGUAAAUGCUCUCUAGCGACGAGUGUAUAUAUAAAGAUACAAUUGUGUAUUAUUCUCGACGUCCAAACAGAAACGGGAAUAAGAGGUUUGAGUCUGAUCUUAUGGAGGGAAAAGCUAUUCUUCUUUGCCUUAUGGUGCUUGUGCAGCUAGGAAAUUCCGUUCAUGUUGACAAAUGUAGGGCGGUAAUUGCCUUUUCAGGCACCACAUGCAUAGAACUGUCUUGCAUGUUGGCCUGCCAGAAGUCCUUCGGAGAUCACGCCAUAAACUCGGCAUGUAGGCUCCUUGGCCUAGCCACUCUGAAUUGUUACUGCAAGGUCUGUGACUAGAGUUGCACUAAACCAUUGUACGUAUCAAAUAAUGGAUAAUGAUGAGAUCCAGCAAUAAAAUCCUCUUUGUGACAUGUA